rnacentral:lncRNA from 1 species
GGGGGAGUGCUCACACCUUUGGAUGCUGCCGAGUAAGGACUGUGCAGCAGCGUCCACCGGCUUUGACGAAGGGAAGGGACGUUGGUGAGAGCAGUGGGAGCAGAGGAGGCCCGGGGUCCGGGAGCGAGGAAACAAGCCUUCCACGCAUUCAGUCUUUGCAGAGGUGGUGACGGAUGAAGUUAUCACAGUGGGUAGCAGUCAAGAGAGGACCAUGCUUUGUUGGCUCCAGUGAGAAGAACUUCCGAAAAUGUUCCAGGUCAGCAACAACCCGAAACCAGACCAGCCUCCCAAGCAAAGGUUCUAGAAUACCCUAGGAUUUGUUCCUAGCUCCUGAAUCUGUGGGACCUUCAUGCAAUUUUGCUCUCAAAGCACUCACAAAAGGCUUCUAUCUGGCCUGCGCAUGUCACGAGUCAGCAGCGCUGGCUCUGGACCAAGAGACAUGUCUGCCAGAAGAGAUGUUACAGAAGAACCGGAGAGUUACCUAUGCUAAAGCCGCUGUCGGAAUGCACUUAUCCAGUAAGUAUUCCCCACGCAAAGGGCAUGAUAUGAACUCGUUGG